CGGGACGUAGCGCAGCUUGGUAGCGCAUCUGCUUUGGGAGCAGGGUGUCGCAGGUUCAAAUCCUGCCGUCCUGA